UCCAGCAACUAGUUGAUGUUAUGAUGCAUCGUUGGUCCGGCGUACGAUGGCGUCUGAUGCGAUUUAUGCGUCCGGAAGCCCUUUCAGCCUCCAGGCAUGUCCCCACCUGCCUCACAGCCACCGACGCAUCUCACGGCGGGGUUCCAAUUGCGUGCGCGUAUGGAUGCUCCUUUCGCCGCCGCCUUUCUAGCAACUAGUUGAUGUUAUGAUGCAUCGUUGGUCCGGCGUACGAUGGCGUCUGAUGCGAUGUAUGCGUCCGGAAGCCCUUUCAGCCUCCAGGCAUGUCCCCACCUGCCUCACAGCCACCGACGCAUCUCACGGCGGGGUUCCAAUUGCGUGCGCGUAUGGAUGAUCCUUUCCUGCCGCCUUUCUAGCAACUAGUUGAUGUUAUGAUGCAUCGUUGGUCCGGCGUACGAUGGCGCCUGAUGCGAUUUAUGCGUCCGGAAGCCCUUUCAGCCUCCAGGCAUGUCCCCACCUGCCUCACAGCCACCGACGCAUCUCACGGCGGGGUUCCAAUUGUGUGCGCGUAUGGAUGCUCCUUUCCCCGCCGCCUUUCCAGCAACUAGUUGAUGUUAUGAUGCAUCGUUGGUCCGGCGUACGAUGGCGCCUGGUGCGAUGUAUGCGUCCGGAAGCCCUUUCAGCCUCCAGGCAUGUCCCCACCUGCCUCACAGCCACCGACGCAUCUCACGGCGGGGUUCCAAUUGCGUGCGCGUAUGGAUGCUCCUUUCCCCGCCGCCUUUCUAGCAACUAGUUGAUGUUAUGAUGCAUCGUUCUUCCGGUGUACGACGGCGCCUGAUGCGAUUUAUGCGUCCGGAAGCCCUUUCAGCCUCCAGGCAUGUCCCCACCUGCCUCACAGCCACCGACGCAUCUCACGGCGGGGGUCUAAUUGCGUGCGCGUAUGGAUGCUCCUUUCCCCGCUGCCUUUCCAGCAACUAGUUGAUGUUAUGAUGCAUCGUUGGUCCGGCGUACGACGGCGCCUGAUGCGAUUUAUGCGUCCGGAAGCCCUUUCAGCCUCCAGGCAUGUCCCCACCUGCCUCACAGCCACCGACGCAUCUCACGGCGGGGGUCUAAUUGCGUGCGCGUAUGGAUGCUCCUUUCCCCGCCGCCUUUCUAGCAACUAGUUGAUGUUAUGAUGCAUCGUUGGUCCGGCGUACGACGGCGCCUGAUGCGAUUUAUGCGUCCGGAAGCCCUUUCAGCCUCCAGGCAUGUCCCCACCUGCCUCACAGCGACCGACGCAUCUCACGGCGGGGGUCUAAUUGCGUGCGCGUAUGGAUGCUCCUUUCGCCGCCGCCUUUCUAGCAACUAGUUGAUGUUAUGAUGCAUCGUUGGUCCGGCGUACGACGGCGCCUGAUGCGAUUUAUGCGUCCGGAAGCCCUUUCAGCCUCCAGGCAUGUCCCCACCUGCCUCACAGCCACCGACGCAUCUCACGGCGGGGGUCUAAUUGCGUGCGCGUAUGGAUGCUCCUUUCGCCGCCUUUCUAGCAACUAGUUGAUGUUAUGAUGCAUCGUUGGUCCGGCGUACGACGGCGCCUGAUGCGAUUUAUGCGUCCGGAAGCCCUUUCAGCCUCCAGGCAUGUCCCCACCUGCCUCACAGCCACCGACGCAUCUCACGGCGGGGGUCUAAUUGCGUGCACGUAUGGAUGCUCCUUUCGCCGCCGCCUUUCUAGCAACUAGUUGAUGUUAUGAUGCAUCGUUGGUCCGGCGUACGACGGCGCCUGAUGCGAUUUAUGCGUCCGGAAGCCCUUUCAGCCUCCAGGCAUGUCCCCACCUGCCUCACAGCGACCGACGAAUCUCACGGCGGGGGUCUAAUUGCGUGCGCGUAUGGAUGCUCCUUUCGCCGCCUUUCCAGCAACUAGUUGAUGUUAUGAUGCAUCGUUGGUCCGGCGUACGAUGGCGCCUGAUGCGAUUUAUGCGUCCGGAAGCCCUUUCAGCCUCCAGGCAUGUCCCCACCUGCCUCACAGCCACCGACGCAUCUCACGGCGGGGUUCCAAUUGCGUGCGCGUAUGGAUGCUCCUUUCGCCGCCGCCUUUCUAGCAACUAGUUGAUGUUAUGAUGCAUCGUUGGUCCGGCGUACGAUGGCGCCUGAUGCGAUGUAUGCGUCCGGAAGCCCUUUCAGCCUCCAGGCAUGUCCCCAC
rnacentral:lncRNA from 1 species